UACGUAGGGUGCAAGCGUUGUCCGGAAUUAUUGGGCGUAAAGAGCUCGUAGGCGGUCUGUCGCGUCUGCUGUGAAAACUCGGGGCUUAACCCCGGGCCUGCAGUGGGUACGGGCAGACUAGAGUGCGGUAGGGGAGAGUGGAAUUCCUGGUGUAGCGGUGAAAUGCGCAGAUAUCAGGAGGAACACCGGUGGCGAAGGCGGGUCGCUGGGACGUAACUGACGCUGAGGAGCGAAAGCGUGGGGAGCGAACAGG
rnacentral:rRNA from 1 species